rnacentral:rRNA from 1 species
GAGGAACUUGUUCCUCGAGUCGUUGAUUUCACACUGCCGAGAAAAGCCUCUAGCUAGAAUAACGGUGCCCGUACCGCAAACCGACACAGGUAGUCAAGAUGAGAAUUCUAAGGUGAGCGAGCGAACUCUCGUUAAGGAACUCGGCAAAAUGACCCCGUAACUUCGGGAGAAGGGGUGCUCUUUGAGGUUCACGCUUCGAAGAGCCGCAGUGAAUAGGCCCAAGCGACUGUUUAUCAAAAACACAGGUCUCUGCUAAACCGUAAGGUGACGUAUAGGGGCUGACGCCUGCCCGGUGCUGGAAGGUUAAGAGGAGUGGUUAGCGCAAGCGAAGCUACGAAUCGAAGCCCCAGUAAACGGCGGCCGUAACUAUAACGGUCCUAAGGUAGCGAAAUUCCUUGUCGGGUAAGUUCCGACCCGCACGAAAGGCGUAACGAUUUGGGCACUGUCUCAACGAGAGACUCGGUGAAAUCAUAGUACCGGUGAAGAUGCCGGUUACCCGCGACAGGACGGAAAGACCCCGUGGAGCUUUACUGUAGCCUGAUAUUGAAAUUCGGUACAGUUUGUACAGGAUAGGUAGGAGCCUUAGAAGCGUGAGCGCUAGCUUACGUGGAGGCAUUGGUGGGAUACUACCCUAAUUGUAUUGGAUUUCUAACCCGCAGCACUUAUCGUGCUGGGAGACAGUGUCAGGCGGGCAGUUUGACUGGGGCGGUCGCCUCCUAAAGAGUAACGGAGGCGCUCAAAGGUUCCCUCAGAAUGGUUGGAAAUCAUUCAUAGAGUGUAAAGGCAUAAGGGAGCUUGACUGCGAGACCUACAAGUCGAGCAGGGUCGAAAGACGGACUUAGUGAUCCGGUGGUUCCGCAUGGAAGGGCCAUCGCUCAACGGAUAAAAGCUACCCCGGGGAUAACAGGCUUAUCUCCCCCAAGAGUUCACAUCGACGGGGAGGUUUGGCACCUCGAUGUCGGCUCAUCGCAUCCUGGGGCUGUAGUCGGUCCCAAGGGUUGGGCUGUUCGCCCAUUAAAGCGGUACGCGAGCUGGGUUCAGAACGUCGUGAGACAGUUCGGUCCCUAUCCGUCGUGGGCGUAGGAAAUUUGAGAGGAGCUGUCCUUAGUACGAGAGGACCGGGAUGGACAUACCUCUGGUGUACCAGUUGUCGUGCCAACGGCAUAGCUGGGUAGCUAUGUAUGGACGGGAUAAGUGCUGAAAGCAUCUAAGCAUGAAGCCCCCCUCGAGAUGAGAUUUCCCAACUUCGGUUAUAAGAUCCCUCAAAGAUGAUGAGGUGAAU